UCCGUAGGUGAACCUGCGGAGGGAUCAUUACAGAGCAUCAUGCCCUUCGGGGUAGAUCUCCCACCCUGUGUCUUAUGUACCCUUUGUUGCUUUGGCGGGCCGCCCUCGGCCACCGGCUCCGGCUGGUGCGUGCCCGCCAGAGGAAACCAAACUCUGAAUGUUAGUGUCGUCUGAGUACUAUAUAAUAGUUAAAACUUUCAACAACGGAUCUCUUGGUUCUGGCAUCGAUGAAGAACGCAGCGAAAUGCGAUAAGUAAUGUGAAUUGCAGAAUUCAGUGAAUCAUCGAAUCUUUGAACGCACAUUGCGCCCGCCGGUAUUCCGGCGGGCAUGCCUGUUCGAGCGUCAUUACAACCCUCAAGCUCUGCUUGGCCUUGGGCGUCACCGGCAACGGUGGGCCUCAAACCCAGUGGCGGUGCCGUCUGGCUCUAAGCGUAGUAAUUCUUCUCGCUAUAGGUGCCCGGCGGAUGCUUGCCAGCAACCCCCAACUUCUUAAG
rnacentral:rRNA from 1 species